AGAAUCAACGCUGGCGGCGUGCCUAACACAUGCAAGUCGAACGAGAAAGUGGAGCAAUCCAUGAGUACAGUGGCGCACGGGUGAGUAACACGUGACUAACCUACCCUGGAGUGGGGGAUAACUGAGGGAAACCUUAGCUAAUACCGCAUAAUACCUACGGGUCAAAGGAGCAAUUCGCUUAAGGAGGGGUCGCGGCAGAUUAGUUAGUUGGCGGGGUAAUGGCCCACCAAGACGGUGAUCU
rnacentral:rRNA from 1 species